rnacentral:tRNA from 1 species
GGUGGGUUGGCACAGUGGUUCGAGCGUAGGUCUCGUAACCGAAAGGUCGCGGGAUCGAAUCCCGCUAGAGGCUG